GAAUAUUGGACAAUGGGCGAAAGCCUGAUCCAGCCAUGCCGCGUGCGUGAAGAAGGUCUUCGGAUUGUAAAGCACUGUAAGUUGGGAGGAAGGGCAGUAAGCGAAUACCUUGCUGUUUUGACGUUACCGACAGAAUAAGGACCGGCUAACUUCGUGCCCGUAGCCGCGGUAAUACAGAGGGUGCAAGCGUUACUAGGAAUUACUGGGCGUACAGCGCGCGUAGGUGGUUCGUUAAGUUGGAUGUGAAAUCCCCGGGCUCAACCUGGGAACUGCAUCCAAAACUGGCGAGCUAGAGUAGGGCAGAGGGUGGUGGAAUUUCCUGUGUAGCGGUGAAAUGCGUAGAUAUAGGAAGGAACACCAGUGGCGAAGGCGACCACCUGGGCUCAUACUGACACUGAGGUGCGAAAGCGUGGGGAGCAAACAG
rnacentral:rRNA from 1 species